rnacentral:rRNA from 1 species
GACGAACGCUGGCGGCGUGCUUAACACAUGCAAGUCGAACGGAAAGGCCCUGCUUUUGUGGGGUGCUCGAGUGGCGAACGGGUGAGUAACACGUGAGUAACCUGCCCUUGACUUUGGGAUAACUUCAGGCAACUGGGGCUAAUACCGGAUAGGAGCUCCUGCUGCAUGGUGGGGGUUGGAACGUUUAGGCGGAUGGGGAUGGACUCGCGGCUUAUUAGCUUGUUGGUGGGGUAGUGGCUUACCCAGGCUUUGACGGGUAGCCGGCCUGAGAGGGUGGCCGGCCACAUGGGGACUGAGAGACGGCCCAGACUCCUACGGGAGGCAGCAGUGGGGAAUAUUGCACAGUGGGCGGAAGCCUGAUGCAGCAACGCCGCGUGCGGGAUGACGGCCUUCGGGUUGUAAACCGCUUUCGCCUGUGACGAAGCGUGAGUGACGGUAAUGGGUAAAGAAGCACCGGCUAACUACGUG